rnacentral:rRNA from 1 species
AUUGAACGCUGGCGGCAGGCCUAACACAUGCAAGUCGAGCGAGCGUCGGACGGGUGAGUAAUGUAUGGGGACUGCCCGAUAGAGGGGGAUAACGGCUGGAAACGGUAGCUAAUACCGCAUACUAUCGGAUAACCCAUUAGUGAUUAGCUAGUAGGUGGGGUAAUGGCUCACCUAGGCGACGAUCCCUCACGGGUCUGAGAGGUUGAUCAGCAACACUGGGACGGAGAACGGGCCCAGACUCCUACGGAGGCAGCAGUGGGGAAUAUUGCACAAGGGGCGAAAGCCUGCCGGAGCAAUGCCGGGUGUAUGAAGAGGGCCCUAGGGUUGAAAAGUACUUUCAGUCGGGAGGCGUUACCGACAGAAGAAGGACCGGCUAACUCCGUGCCAGCAGCCGCGGUAAUAC